rnacentral:rRNA from 1 species
AUCCUGGCUCAGAUUGAACGCUGGCGGCAUGCCUUACACAUGCAAGUCGAACGGCAGCACGGAGCUUGCUCUGGUGGCGAGUGGCGAACGGGUGAGUAAUAUAUCGGAACGUACCCAGGAGUCGGGGGAUAACGUAGCGAAAGUUACGCUAAUACCGCAUACGUCCUAAGGGAGAAAGUGGGGGAUCGCAAGACCUCAUGCUCAUGGAGCGGCCGAUAUCUGAUUAGCUAGUUGGUAGGGUAAAGGCCUACCAAGGCAUCGAUCAGUAGCUGGUCUGAGAGGACGACCAGCCACACUGGAACUGAGACACGGUCCAGACUCCUACGGGAGGCAGCAGUGGGGAAUUUUGGACAAUGGGGGCAACCCUGAUCCAGCAAUGCCGCGUGAGUGAAGAAGGCCUUCGGGUUGUAAAGCUCUUUUGUCAGGGAAGAAAAGGGAUUGGCUAAUAUCUAGUCCUCAUGACGGUACCUGAAGAAUAAGCACCGGCUAACUACGUA